rnacentral:rRNA from 1 species
GACGAACGCUGGCGGCGUGCCUAAUACAUGCAAGUAGAACGCUGAAGGAGGAGCUUACUUCUCUGGAUGAGUUGCGAACGGGUGAGUAACGCGUAGGUAACCUGCCUGGUAGCGGGGGAUAACUAUUGGAAACGAUAGCUAAUACCGCAUAAGAGUAGAUGUUGCAUGACAUUUACUUAAAAGGUGCAAUUGCACCACUACCAGAUGGACCUGCGUUGUAUUAGCUAGUUGGUGGGGUAACGGCUUACCAAGGCGACGAUACAUAGCCGACCUGGGAGGGUGAUCGGCCACACUGGGACUGAGACACGGCCCAGACUCCUACGGGAGGCAGCAAUAGGGAAUCUUCGGCAAUGGACGGAAGUCUGGCCGAGCAACGCCGCGUGAGUGAAGAAGGUUUUCGGAUCGUAAAGCUCUGUUGUAAGAGAAGAACGAGUGUGAGAGUGGAAAGUCCACACUGUGACGGUAUCUUACCAGAAAGGGACGGCUAACUACGUGCCAGCCGCCGCGGUAA